GUCUGUAGCUCAGUGGAACAGUUCUUGCCUAGCAUGCAUGAGGAACUGGGUUCGAUCCUUAGCACCACA
rnacentral:tRNA from 1 species